rnacentral:rRNA from 1 species
AUGUCCAUGGGCAUAUUUCCAAUAGUUAACUUGAAUAGUUCACCUCAUGAGGAUGUUGAUGAUUCUUUUCGGUCUGAUAUAUUUGAUCCAAGAAACUGGGAUUCUCUUAAUUCUAAACAGAUUGAUAUCUUAGCACAGAAGGGUCCAAAAACAGACAAGUCAGUUAAAGGUCCUAAAGAUAGAUAUCGUAAAAGGUUUACUUCAGUAUUCUAUACUAGAAUCCUAUCAAAUGGAGAGUAUUGUGAUAGAGACUGGCUUGUUUAUUCUGAACAACUUGAUAGAGUCUUUUGUUUUUGGUUGUAA